UGGCCGCUGCAUGUUACCUAGCUAUCCGCGUCAAGCCGGAACCGUGUAUAGCAGUUUCUUGUGUGUAGGGAGAAAGUUAAAAACUGCCACCUAAGGGUUUCGAUGGGAAGACUAAAAGUAGGCUCACCCACCUGCUGUGAAGCAGCGCGCGCCAGCUGUUACUAACAGUAGUGAAAAGGCGGGGGUCCCUGCCCGAGGCGCGCACGGGGGCGCCGGCUGACCCAGAGACCAGAGGGAGACUCAUGGCCGGAGCUGCACAGCCUGUGGGGCCGGAGGGGAACGGUCGCCCUUGGCGGGCUUCCCCAGCUGCCAAGGCCUGAGGACGGCCUAGGACGUGACGGGAGCCUGUCCUGGGUUUUACAGGCCGGCUGGGGAGCUGCGCUGGAGGAGAGAGCCGGGAGCUGGGGCCCGGUGAUGGAGCCUGCCUUGGGGAAUCCAUGUGUUGGAGAGGGUGGGAAGCAGAUAGGAUAACCCUGACCUGAGCCAUGGAGACGCAAGGACAGAACUGGUAGACGGGUCAGUGGGCAGCAACUUAAGGCUGACCUCGCUUGAGCCUUUGCCUGCGAACGAGGACUGAUGGCUGGAGGAGGAUGCAGGAAGAGGAACCUGGGAGGACCCGCUCUGGAAAGGAUGGAAAUCGAGAGCACCAUUCUCAGGGACGAAGAUAAGCUGUUUACUUGGGGCAGACUGCGGGGAGAGCUGUCUAGCAAGCAGCCCCCGUAGGGCGGCGGGGGGAACCCAAGGUAGAGGCCUUCUAGGCUGGCUGGCGCCACUUCUGGGUCCCAUGUCCCUGGUUUUGCAUCAUCCACACCAAUCACUCCAUGUUGCUGUGUUCCUUCACUAGAAGACGGUGGGCUCAUAAAGGGCAGGGCAGUCCUCACUCACCAGUCUCCCCAGCCUCACCCAGCCCAGCACAGGGCACCAGGCAGGGACAGAGAGUGCUGGGGUAGGUGGGUGUGGUCAAACAGCUUGGAAAGAGUUUGGCCUGCUCAUUGCAUUCCCCUCAGCUCAUCCUGGGGAUGUCUGCUGGGAGAAUGGCAGAGGCAUCCCCAAUAUUCAUUCCUGAUACUCCUCCUCUCCUUGUAUCAUAUCAGCACACAGUAGGUGUGGCCUACCUAUGGCAGAGUCAUUUCUGCCCCCGAUAGGAUGUGCUGUAGUUUGGAUGUGUGUCCCCUCCAAAUCUCAUGUUGAAAUGUGAUCCCAAUGUUGGAAGUGGGGCCUGGUGGGAAGUAAUUGGGUCGUGAGGGCCGAUCCCUUACGAAUGGUUUAGCACCAUCCCCUUGGUGAUGAGUUCUUGCUUAGUUCACACAAGAUCUGGUUAUUUAAGAGUCCAAGACCUCCCCUUCUCUCUCUAACUCCUGCCUCACUAUGUGAUACACUGGCUCCCCGUCACCCUAUGUCACGAUCUUAAGUUUCCUGAGGUUGCACCAGAAGCAGAUGCCAGCACCAUGCUUCCUGAAAAGCCCAUGGAACUGUGAGCCAAUUAAACCUCUUUAUAAAUUA